ACCCGCUGAACUUAAGCAUAUCACUUAGCCGGAGGAAGAGAAACUAACAAGGAUUCCCUCAGUAACGGCGAGUGAACGGGGAGAAGCCCA
rnacentral:ncRNA from 1 species